rnacentral:rRNA from 1 species
GCAGCAGCCGCGGUAAUACGUAGGCAGCAAGCGUUGUUCGGAGUUACUGGGCGUAAGGGGUGCGUAGGCGGUCCUAUAAGUAUGGUGUGAAAUCUCCCGGCUUAACUGGGAGGAUGCGCUAUAGACUGUGGGACUAGAGUGUGGGAGAGGAAAGUGGAAUUCCUGGUGUAGUGGUGAAAUGCGUAGAUAUCAGGAGGAACACCGGUGGUGUAAACGGCUUUCUGGACCAUAACUGACGCUGAGGCACGAAAGCGUGGGUAGCAAACAGGAUUAGAUACCCCGGUAGUCCCUGUCUCUUAUAC